AACGAACGCUGGCGGCAUGCCUAACGCAUGCAAGUCGAACGAUCCCUUCGGGGAUAGUGGCGCACGGGUGCGUAACGCGUGGGAAUCUGCCCUUGGCUUCGGAAUAACAGUUAGAAAUGACUGCUAAUACCGGAUGAUGUCUUCGGACCAAAGAUUUAUCGGCCAGGGAUGAGCCCGCGUAGGAUUAGGUAGUUGGUGAGGUAAAGGCUCACCAAGCCGACGAUCCUUAGCUGGUCUGAGAGGAUGAUCAGACACACUGGGACUGAGACACGGCCCAGACUCCUACGGGAGGCAGCAGUGGGGAAUAUUGGACAAUGGGCGCAAGCCUGAUCCAGCAAUGCCGCGUGAGUGAUGAAGGCCUUCGGGUCGUAAAGCUCUUUUACCAGGGAUGAUAAUGACAGUACCUGGAGAAUAAGCUCCGGCUAACUCCGUGCCAGCCGCCGCAGUAAAAC
rnacentral:rRNA from 1 species